CUCUUGGAAGAAGGUCACUGUGGUUUAAAAUUCUCCGUGGGAAAAUCUGGGUUUGACGGCGUUCAAGAGGAGAGUUCUCUACAUUUGGCGCAACAGCUCAAAUGGAAACUAGAGCACAUGAUCAGAGUAAUGCUCCCACACAUGGCCUUAUGACUGUUGCUCCAGUGAAGAACCCAAGGUCCAGCCUUCCCCACUCAAGACAUGCCUGAGACAAGAGUGACUGUAUUCCAAGUAGAACAAUGCACGGGAGGCCCGUGAAUUUGGGCACUGUGAUUUGGAACUGUAUAGUACAUAAUAAGACUCUAUUGAGCUCUUCUAACCUUAUUAAAUAGCUAACAUGGAAAGCAUUUUUGAAAAUUAAGUAACAUGUAAAAAUGAAUGUGAUAUGUCUUUAAGGGUGUUUGCAAGCCCUUAAAAAGUCUUAAAUUGUCUUAAAUUUAUUUUUGUUCAUAAAAUUGUUUAAUACAUCAUGACAGUUGAAUAUAUCAUGGUGUAUUUAUCUGUGGUUACAAUGCGUUUGUAUUUGAAUGAUAAAAGCCCACAAUGUGUCCUUUUCUUGGACCAAAAUAAACAUUCUUGUCUUUUCUCAUACAAUCUUUGUUCUCUGUUGCAGUGUAGGCGGACUCUCGCCCUCAGCCCGCAGUUAGGAUAAUUCCACUCACCUGCGUUCUCUGGAUUCCGCAUGCUUCCUCUUCCUGCUUAUAUUCUCGGCUCUUCUACAGAUCCUCGCCAGAUCGUUAUCCUAACCUGUCUGAU